AUUAGUAUAUUUAAUUAAUCUAAUUAAAAAUACUUCGAUUUUUCGGUUUGGUUUGGUUUUAAACCGAACCAAACCGAACCAUUUGGGUUAAUAAAGUUUUGAACCAAACAGGUUAGACAUAUACUUUGGUUUGGAUCAGUUUGGAUUCUGUUGGAUCGGUUUGGUUCGGGUUUUUUGCCCACCAUUAAUUUUUGUGUGUGUUUAGUUACAACUCCUGCAAAUUUAUACAACUGAGCAUUAACUGUUGGAUUAUACUCCCUCUGUUUUUAAAAGAUGCAUAUUCUAG
rnacentral:lncRNA from 1 species